rnacentral:misc_RNA from 1 species
GUCAGGCUUCUUAUAAACCUGAAUUCUCUCAACAUCUGCAGGAUUUGCCAUUUUCCAUCUGCAUAAUGGAGGAGGAACUCGAUGACGAGUAUACUGAGUCACAGUUUGAUUGCUGUAAGAAUUCAUUUUAGCACUUGACAUGUAAAAUACGAAAGACUUUUGACAUGGAUUACGCAUAACAGGCCUUGUGUUAAAAGCAUACGCAGUAUAAUCCGCUCUCCUGUACCAAUUUAAGAAAGUCCUCGAUGGCAUUUCUAUUUCACGCGGAGAAAGAAUUCCACGAAAUAUCUGAACUGCAAAUCCCCAUGACACUGAAAUAGUCCAACUGUUAACUUUGUCAUAGCAAAUGGAUUGUUGCAUAAUACCAGCUGAGUCGAGUUUCAUCGGUACUGUGAGC